AAUGAGAAGCACAAUACAUUUCUGGACCAUCUUGACACGUCAUUUGUAAAGCAGUAACACAGAUCCAUGGCUUUGCGUGCAGGAUCUGUGGAAGUGAUCCAAAGCUGGGGAAAUUUGUUAGAACAGUUAUCUUCACAUGUCAACGAAGCUUCAGAGCAGAUAACGAGACAAAAUGUUUCAUCUACUGGUUGAGUUUGAUAAUGGCAAACGGAGCUGAAGAAAACAUCUUCCAGGUCAUAAUGAACACCAAAGGAAGCCCCAUACUGUGGUCUGAGCGACGGUUGGAGCCGAGGUCGGAGCAGCAGUCCAAGUGACAAUCGGAGCAGCAAUGACCUAUCGGAGUGACAAUCGGAGUAGCAGUGGCCCUUCAAAGUGAUAAUUGAAGUAGCAGUGGGCCGUCGGAGUGACAAUUGGAGUAGCAAUGGUCCUUCCAAGCACCAGUCGAAGAGCGUAGUGGCAGUACAAGUGCUAAUGCUAAAGUUUGUGGACUGAUGGUAAAGUGAAUGUGAAAGUUAUUUUUGUAUUUUUUUUUAGUUUUUAUUAUAUAUUUUAUAAAAUUUUGGCAGAUUAUAUGGAAAAAUAGGGAGGGAAAAUAAUAAACGUUGCAAUAGCUUUUUUUAUCAAAAAACGCGUUGCCGUAGGUGACUCUAUGGCAACGAUUCAUGAAAUCGUUGCGAUAGAAUGUCCUAUUGCAACGGUUAUAGAUCAA